rnacentral:rRNA from 1 species
ACCCUGGUGGCGAGUGGCGAACGGGUGAGUAAUACAUCGGAACGUGUCCUGUAGUGGGGGAUAGCCCGGCGAAAGCCGGAUUAAUACCGCAUACGCUCUACGGAGGAAAGGGGGGGAUCUUAGGACCUCCCGCUACAGGGGCGGCCGAUGGCAGAUUAGCUAGUUGGUGGGGUAAAGGCCUACCAAGGCGACGAUCUGUAGCUGGUCUGAGAGGACGACCAGCCACACUGGGACUGAGACACGGCCCAGACUCCUACGGGAGGCAGCAGUGGGGAAUUUUGGACAAUGGGGGCAACCCUGAUCCAGCAAUGCCGCGUGUGUGAAGAAGGCCUUCGGGUUGUAAAGCACUUUUGUCCGGAAAGAAAACGCCGUGGUUAAUACCCGUGGCGGAUGACGGUACCGGAAGAAUAAGCACCGGCUAACUACGUGCCAGCAGCCGCGGUAAUACGUAGGGUGCAAGCGUUAAUCGGAAUUACUGGGCGUAAAGCGUGCGCAGGCGGUCCGCUAAGACAGAUGUGAAAUCCCCGGGCUUAACCUGGGAACUGCAUUUGUGACUGGCGGGCUAGAGUAUGGCAGAGG